rnacentral:rRNA from 1 species
CCAUGCAAKUCUAAGUUCAGGCUUGUUCCUUUCGGGGAGCRAGCCGAAAACUGCRAACGGCUCAUUAGUCAGAUAAGGUUCCUUGGCUAAAAGCGGGUCGGUUUUAAUGGAUAACUGUGGUAAUUCUAGAGCUAAUACAUGCAACGCACCGUGGUCCCCGUAGUCUUCUAGUCUCGGGGAAACGGCAUUUAUUCUCUGGACCAGAUCGCCCUAGCCUGCGAAGCUACCGUCAAAAGUAGCGACGGGGCGAAGCGACAAGUGUUGAAAUCCGAAUAACUGUGCCGAUCGCGGGGUCUUUCCGGGCCCCCGACGACUUUGCCAUGAAGUGUCUGUCCCAUCAAUUGGCGAUGGUCGGCGACCUGCCUACCACGGUGUUGACGGGUAACGGGGAAUCAGGGUUCGAUUCCGGAGAGGGAGCCUGCGAAACGGCUACCACCUCCAAGGAGGGCAGCAGGCGCGCAACUUACCCAAUCCCGACACGGGGAGGUAGUGACGAAAAAUAACGUGGCGGGGCCCUUUCGUGGUCGCCGCGGGCGGAAUGAGCGCAAUUUAAAAGAGUGUGCGAGGAUCCAUUGGAGGGCAA